rnacentral:rRNA from 1 species
AACGAACGCUGGCGGCAUGCCUAACACAUGCAAGUCGAACGAGACCUUCGGGUCUAGUGGCGCACGGGUGCGUAACGCGUGGGAACCUGCCCUUAGGUUCGGAAUAACUCCCCGACAGGGGUGCUAAUACCGGAUAAUGUCUUCUGACCAAGGAUUUAUCGCCUUUGGAUGGACCCGCGUUGGAUUAGCUAGUUGGUAGGGUAAAAGCCUACCAAGGCGACGAUCCAUAGCUGGUCUGAGAGGAUGAUCAGCCACACUGGGACUGAGACACGGCCGGGACUCCUACGGGAGGGAGGAGUGGGGAAUAUUGGAAAAUGGCCGAAAGGAUGAUGGAGCAAGGACGGGUGAGUGAUGUAGGCAGUAGGGUUGUAAAGCUCUUUUAACCGGGAUGAUAAUGACAGUACCGGGAGAAUAAGCUCCGGCUAACUACGUG